UGGAGGGAGAGCACACCAAGCAACAGGAACAGGAAGUGCAAAGGCCUUGAGGCAAGAGUGUGCGAGUGUGAGAACAACUUGGAGACCUUGGCAGAAGAGACAGAGAGAGAAUAAACAAACGAGCAAGUAAAUAUAUGACGUGUCAGGGGUUACGUGGCCGCUGGAGAUCUCUGCUCAGCUCGUCCCAUAUACUCCAGAAUAAGAAAACAUUCCUUUUCCACAACUGAAUUAACAUCUACACCGGUGCUGUCCAAUAGAUAUAUAAUGUGACCUACAUGUAUAAGCCACACGUGCAUUAAGAAGGAAAAAGAAGCAGGUGGAAGUCAAUUUAAUAAUAUAUUUUACUUUACCAGACAUAUCCUAAAUAUUACCACUUUGACAUGUAGUUAAAAUAAAAUUAUGACUUUGCAUAUUAUUUUUCA